UGGCUUGUUUCACGUUUUUUAGCUCCCGUAAAAAUAACAAAAAUGUAUUGGUCGGUGCCGUCCUGUCGAUUCGGCACAAACACAACAGAAGUGAAUUAUUAGCUGCAUUUAAUAGGAGAAAGACCUGACGGGCUGUAAUACGCUAGCUUACCUGGGCAGAGGAGUUCAUCAUGAAUAGCGUUCCUUCACCUGCGUCACUCCGUGGAGGUUUAGUUUGGACAGCUUCACGCAGCUGUGCAAGCUCGUGAGAGCAAACAUCAGCUUCUGUGGACGGCAUCCUCGAUGGUUCCAAUUUCCAGCCCAUUCCCCAAUUUUCAACCCCAAUGACAGACAACACACGCUCGAAUGGGUGCUUUGCUAAAGAAGGGAAUUGGUAAGUGAUGAUUUUAAAUGCUGUUUAAGAUAAAAAGAGGAGUUUUCAACAGAUAAGAGUGUGCCUGGGUAGAGAGCAGGAAGCUCGGAGAUACCAGUUAGAAUGUACUGUUACAGUAGCCACAUACCACAUGUGUGAUUUAUGGUGCUGGGCUUCAGAUAGCGCUGCAGUAGAAAAGUAUUUUUUUCUUUUUUGUCGUUUUGAAUAAACUAUUACUUUACAUUAGAUAUGAAAUAUUUCUAUAACAGUGUUGGAAAAAAAAGCUUUCAUGUUUUUUGAAGUUGUGCUAAAACUCUGAACCUAAAGGGAAUAUGUAGAUAAUUAAUUUUAUUCUUAAAAAAAAUCCUAAAUUUAAAAUGCAAAACCCUCCAAUCAGUGUAAUUUGAAGGUGAACUGUUGAACUGAACUGACCUGACUGGUGUAACAAUAAUUAUACAUAUUGCAUUCUGGGCUGAAAAUAAAUACAAAUUAUUACACCUUUUCCUGAAUUGAAUUUAGGCUUUGGAUGCAUAAUUUUAGUUUUAUAAAUUAAAACAUAAUUAUAGCAAAUUUUAUGUUUUCUUUAAACAAUAAAGUUCUUCUGAUUAUUUUAUUACUAUCGCAAAAUAACUUAGAAGCCUUUCCCUUGAGAAAAUCUGUAAAAUUAAAAAUAAGACAAAGGAUGGAUCCCCAAACAAUGACAAUAUUUAUUUAAUUUGUUCCUCUUCAGUGUGGACAAUUUGUCCAGCAUGAAGUGCUUUUUUUGUUUUUUCCUCUUGGUUGAAAAGAGCAGCUCAUUGUAGAGCUUUAAGUGGUUUGUGUAAUCCCCUAUAACCUAUACCAUGAAGCCACAGGAUUGUGAAAAUCUGUUUUCAGCACAUUUUGAGUAGGAGCGAACCUGGGAAUUCUCUCUCUCUCCCCCUCUCUCCCCAACUCUGUCAUGAAACAGAGCACCCCAUUUCCAUAUCAAUCGGAUUAGUUCCAAGACCAGGCAAGUAGGAGUAAUGUAAGUAACCGUACAAAUUUAAAUAUAGGACAUCAAAAACAUUGUUAGGCAUUCAUUUAUUUUUGAGGCAGCCCUGGCUCUCUGUUUCCCUCUGUGAAGAUGAGAUGAAAAUGUAUCUCCUUAAAUUUAUUUUCAUUUUAUUUUGAAAGGCGCUCAGCACCAUAGUAUUUUUAUUUAUUUUUUUUGCCAUUUCAUGUGCACCAUGGCACCCCGCAGUUUUUCUGCGCUUAACCUCUUUUGUGAAAUGAAUAUGUCAUAUCGAGCAAUCCACUUGUUCAGAAUGCAACGCCGAGGCGAUUUCAGGUGGGCAGCGUUCACGUUCACACGGGAAUGGACGCUAACAGUCGUGGGCCGUGGACUCCUGUGGUAUUUCAAGUCACGGUUAAACAUUUAAUUGAUAAUGGAGUUACACAAGUACAUUUUCACAUUUAUUUUUUUUUCAUACUGUAGAUAAAAUAAAAUAUGUUGAACUUUGCGAGUGUUUUUAUUACUGGGAUUACAGGUUGGUUGGUUUCAAUAAUAUUGCAACAGCAGUGAAAAAGUGAAAAAUCAAACAUGAUCUGAUGAGAGACAAUAAUGUCAUAAAUCGUAAAUGCUGCACUUUUAAUUCUGGUGUUUUUUUAAUUUUCAGACUUUAAAGCAAAGAAUUCCAUUAAACUUGUUGAGGAGUUUCUACAAACGACACUGUUGGCUGUGUGUGUGUAUUAUUCCAGAUUACAAAUUAUCACCUUUUUAACUGCACAUAAAACAAAAUCUCUGAGUCAGAACCAAUAAAAGGAGAACAUUUGUUUGGAGCACUUGCUCUGAGUGGCAGGAAUUGGGAGGUCAUCGUGUGUGAGAGAGUAUCGGAGAGAUUAUUCAGCAGUCCGUGCUGCUGACUGAUCAGACGGCCCAGAAACUCCCUGUCCGGAUGUGGAGAUAGAUAGAUGGAUGCCUGCCUGUGCUUCCUCAGCCCUUUAUAACUUAGCCCGUCUCUCUCUGUAAUUGAAAAACUAGCUAGGCUGUUUUGUCUUGGGAUUUGUCCCUUUAUAAUGCAGCUUCAAAACAGGAAAACCAAUAGUGGG